CACGUAGGGUGCGAGCGUUGUCCGGAAUUAUUGGGCGUAAAGAGCUCGUAGGCGGUGUGUCGCGUCGGCCGUGAAAACCUGCAGCUUAACUGUGGGCUUGCGGUCGAUACGGGCAUCACUGGAGUUCGGCAGGGGAGACUGGAAUUCCUGGUGUAGCGGUGAAAUGCGCAGAUAUCAGGAGGAACACCGGUGGCGAAGGCGGGUCUCUGGGCCGAUGACUGACGCUGAGGAGCGAAAGCGUGGGGAGCGAACAGG
rnacentral:rRNA from 1 species